rnacentral:rRNA from 1 species
UAGGGAAUCUUCGGCAAUGGGGGGAACCCUGACCGAGCAACGCCGCGUGAGUGAAGAAGGUCUUCGGAUCGUAAAGCUCUGUUGUUAAGGAAGAACGUGUGUGAGAAUGGAAAGUUCAUGCUGUGACGGUACUUAACCAGAAAGGGACGGCUAACUACGUGCCAGCAGCCGCGGUAAUACGUAGGUCCCGAGCGUUGUCCGGAUUUAUUGGGCGUAAAGCGAGCGCAGGCGGUUAGAAAAGUCUGAAGUGAAAGGCAGUGGCUCAACCAUCGUAGGCUUUGGAAACUGUUUAACUUGGGUGCAGAAGGGGAGAGUGGAAUUCCAUGUGUAGCAGUCACAUGCGUAGAUCUAUGGAGGAACACCGGUAGCGAAAGCGGCUCUCUGGUCUGUGACUGACGCUGAGGCUCGAAAGCGUGGGGUGCGAACAGG